rnacentral:rRNA from 1 species
GUCCUUGACUCUGGGAUAAGCCAGGGAAACGGUGCCCUAUACCGGAUAUGACCUGCUGCCGCAUGGUGGUGGGUGGAAAGUUUUGGCGGUCAGGGGUGGAUCCGCGGCCUAUCAGCUUGUUGGUGGGGUGAUGGCCUACCAAGGCGACGACGGGUAGCCGGCCUGAGAGGGUGUCCGGCCACACUGGGACUGAGACACGGCCCAGACUCCUACGGGAGGCAGCAGUGGG